UACGUAGGGGGCAAGCGUUGUCCGGAUUUAUUGGGCGUAAAGAGCGUGUAGGCGGCUUUGCAGGUCCGCUGUGAAAACUCGAGGCUCAACCUCGAGCUGUCGGUGGAAACCGUAAAGCUAGAGUCCGGAAGAGGAGAGUGGAAUUCCCGGUGUAGCGGUGAAAUGCGCAGAUAUCGGGAAGAACACCCGUGGCGAAGGCGGCUCACUGGGCCUGCACUGACGCUCAUGCACGAAAGCGUGGGGAGCAAACAGG
rnacentral:rRNA from 1 species